rnacentral:rRNA from 1 species
UGCAAGUCGAGCGGUAGCACAGAGAGCUUGCUCUCGGGUGACGAGCGGCGGACGGGUGAGUAAUGUCUGGGAAACUGCCUGAUGGAGGGGGAUAACUACUGGAAACGGUAGCUAAUACCGCAUAACGUCGCAAGACCAAAGUGGGGGACCUUCGGGCCUCAUGCCAUCAGAUGUGCCCAGAUGGGAUUAGCUGGUAGGUGGGGUAACGGCUCACCUAGGCGACGAUCCCUAGCUGGUCUGAGAGGAUGACCAGCCACACUGGAACUGAGACACGGUCCAGACUCCUACGGGAGGCAGCAGUGGGGAAUAUUGCACAAUGGGCGCAAGCCUGAUGCAGCCAUGCCGCGUGUGUGAAGAAGGCCUUCGGGUUGUAAAGCACUUUCAGCGGGGAGGAAGGCGGUGAGGUUAAUAACCUCAUCGAUUGACGUUACCCGCAGAAGAAGCACCGGCUAACUCCGUGCCAGCAGCCGCGGUAAUACGGAGGGUGCAAGCGUUAAUCGGAAUUACUGGGCGUAAAGCGCACGCAGGCGGUCUGUCAAGUCGGAUGUGAAAUCCCCGGGCUCAACCUGGGAACUGCAUUCGAAACUGGCAGGCUAGAGUCUUGUAGAGGGGGGUAGAAUUCCAGGUGUAGCGGUGAAAUGCGUAGAGAUCUGGAGGAAUACCGGUGGCGAAGGCGGCCCCCUGGACAAAGACUGACGCUCAGGUGCGAAAGCGUGGGGAGCAAACAGGAUUAGAUACCCUGGUAGUCCACGCUGUAAACGAUGUCGAUUUGGAGGUUGUGCCCUUGAGGCGUGGCUUCCGGAGCUAACGCGUUAAAUCGACCGCCUGGGGAGUACGGCCGCAAGGUUAAAACUCAAAUGAAUUGACGGGGGCCCGCACAAGCGGUGGAGCAUGUGGUUUAAUUCGAUGCAACGCGAAGAACCUUACCUGGUCUUGACAUCCACAGAACUUUCCAGAGAUGGAUUGGUGCCUUCGGGAACUGUGAGACAGGUGCUGCAUGGCUGUCGUCAGCUCGUGUUGUGAAAUGUUGGGUUAAGUCCCGCAACGAGCGCAACCCUUAUCCUUUGUUGCCAGCGGUCCGGCCGGGAACUCAAAGGAGACUGCCAGUGAUAAACUGGAGGAAGGUGGGGAUGACGUCAAGUCAUCAUGGCCCUUACGACCAGGGCUACACACGUGCUACAAUGGCAUAUACAAAGAGAAGCGACCUCGCGAGAGCAAGCGGACCUCAUAAAGUAUGUCGUAGUCCGGAUUGGAGUCUGCAACUCGACUCCAUGAAGUCGGAAUCGCUAGUAAUCGUAGAUCAGAAUGCUACGGUGAAUACGUUCCCGGGCCUUGUACACACCGCCCGUCACACCAUGGGAGUGGGUUGCAAAAGAAGUAGGUAGCUUAACCUUCGGGAGGGCGCU